AGACGAGGCUAGCGCCUCUCUCAGCCCGAACGGAUCCAGGUAAAUCAAUCUUCUUAUCCCGAACUCACG
rnacentral:ncRNA from 1 species